AUUUCCACAAGCAAACGCAGUCGCGGUGAGUUCGGGCUGACGACCUGAAGCGUGUGCUGGUUUAGGAAACACAAGCUGGCACGCGAUUCCCCCCUUUUGGGGCAGUGGGUCCAGGAGGCGCAGGAGACCCUGAGA
rfam:Loxodonta africana cont3.43694, whole genome shotgun sequence.